rnacentral:rRNA from 1 species
GAGUUUGAUCCUGGCUCAGAUUGAACGCUGGCGGCAGGCCUAACACAUGCAAGUCGAGCGGUAGAGAGAAGCUUGCUUCUCUUGAGAGCGGCGGACGGGUGAGUAAUGCCUAGGAAUCUGCCUGGUAGUGGGGGAUAACGCUCGGAAACGGACGCUAAUACCGCAUACGUCCUACGGGAGAAAGCAGGGGACCUUCGGGCCUUGCGCUAUCAGAUGAGCCUAGGUCGGAUUAGCUAGUUGGUGAGGUAAUGGCUCACCAAGGCGACGAUCCGUAACUGGUCUGAGAGGAUGAUCAGUCACACUGGAACUGAGACACGGUCCAGACUCCUACGGGAGGCAGCAGUGGGGAAUAUUGGACAAUGGGCGAAAGCCUGAUCCAGCCAUGCCGCGUGUGUGAAGAAGGUCUUCGGAUUGUAAAGCACUUUAAGUUGGGAGGAAGGGCAGUAAAUUAAUACUUUGCUGUUUUGACGCUACCGACAGAAUAAGCACCGGCUAACUCUGUGCCAGCCG